AACUUUCAAAGGUUUAGUUAUGAAGCCCUACCCAAUGGAAUGUUCCGUGUUCAACUAGAGAAUGAGACCCUCUUCCUAGGCUAUAUUUCAGGAAAGAUCCGGUCUAGUUCUAUACAAAUACUGAUGGGGUAUAGGGCCAAAAUUGAAGUGAGCCCUUAUGAUUCAAGUGUUUAUAUAAAAUGUUUGGAAAUCUCGAAAAUUGUUGGAAUUUUUAAAAAUGUUUGA
rnacentral:rRNA from 1 species